GGUUGUGACUCGUGGCUGACGGAACUGCGCAGGGGCUUCCGACCGAAAGUGUGUUGACUAUACAGUAUAAUAGUUUACUCUUGUUUAUUAUGAACUUUUGGCACGUUUAGAAGAUAGCGGGUCCAACUUCAAACUUCAUCAGGGUGAAUGGACAGUUACAGAAGCCGUGAAUAUAGCGGCGGUGACGGGGAUUGAAGGCUGCAUCAUCGUACUCUGGCAGCUGUGUCCAAAACCCGUGCAUGCGAGAUGCAGGAGCCGUCGUCGCAAGUGAAGUGUCCUGGCGCGCAGGUGGUGAAAGCGAGGACCAGGCGGCCGCUCUCGUCCCCACAGUCACUUCUCCCAGCCACCACCCACGUCUUCCUUCCUAGGGGCAGCUCCCGUGGAUCCUCCGGUGUGAAGGACAGCACCACCUCGGGGCUACCAGAACGAGGAAGGAAGCUGCCGUCAAGAUCAUGACGGAGGUACUGUCCCUUUCUCACCGUCGGAGCCGUGCAGGAAGCCAGAGUCGUCAUCGUGGCCGUCUAUGUAGCUCGUCCAGCCCCGCGCAGGGUGAUAGGCGAGGCACAGGCUGGUCCACAGGCCGGGGUAGAUCACAG